rnacentral:rRNA from 1 species
UACGUAGGGCGCAAGCGUUGUCCGGAAUUAUUGGGCGUAAAGAGCUCGUAGGCGGUCUGUCACGUCUGCUGUGAAAACCCGGGGCUUAACCCCGGGCUUGCAGUGGAUACGGGCAGACUAGAGGCAGGUAGGGGAGAAUGGAAUUCCCGGUGUAGCGGUGAAAUGCGCAGAUAUCGUAAGGAAGACCAGUGGCGAAGGCGGGUCUCUGGACAGUUCCUGACGCUGAGGCACGAAGGUCAGGGGAGCAAACGGG